AUAAAAAUAUGGUCAAAGUAAUAAGAGUCUAUGGUGAAUGCCUAGGA
rnacentral:rRNA from 1 species